UACGUAGGUGGCAAGCGUUGUCCGGAAUUAUUGGGCGUAAAGCGCGCGCAGGCGGGUCUUUAAGUCUGAUGUGAAAGCCCACGGCUCAACCGUGGAGGGUCAUUGGAAACUGGGGAUCUUGAGUGCAGAAGAGGAAAGUGGAAUUCCACGUGUAGCGGUGAAAUGCGUAGAGAUGUGGAGGAACACCAGUGGCGAAGGCGACUUUCUGGUCUGUAACUGACACUGAGGCGCGAAAGCGUGGGGAGCUAACAGG
rnacentral:rRNA from 1 species